GACGAACGCUGGCGGCGUGCCUAAUACAUGCAAGUCGAGCGAAGGUUUUCUGGUGCUUGCACCGGAAAAACUUAGCGGCGAACGGGAGAGUAACACGUAAAGAACCUGCCUCAUAGAAAGGGACAAAUAUUGGAAACGAUAGCUAAUACCGGAUAACAGCAUUAACUGCAUGGUUGAUGUUUAAAAGUUGGUUUUGCUAACACUAUGAGAUGGCUUUGCGGUGCAUUAGCUAGUUGGUGGGGUAAAGGCCUACCAAGGCGACGAUGCAUAGCCGACCUGAGAGGGUGAUCGGCCACACUGGGACUGAGACACGGCCCAGACUCCUACGGGAGGCAGCAGUAGGGAAUCUUCCGCAAUGGGCGAAAGCCUGACGGAGCAACGCCGCGUGAGUGAAGAAGGAUUUCGGUUCGUAAAGCUCUGUUGUUAGGGAAGAAUGGUUGUGUAGUAACUCUACACAGUAGAGACGGUACCUAACCAGAAAGCCACGGCUAACUACGUG
rnacentral:rRNA from 1 species